rnacentral:rRNA from 1 species
GUUACAGCCGCCGCGGUAAUACGUAGGUGGCAAGCGUUGUCCGGAUUUACUGGGCGUAAAGGGCGUGCAGGCGGCUUGUUAAGUCCAGGGUGAAAGCUCCCGGCUCAACUGGGAGAGGUCCUUGGAUACUGGCAAGCUCGAGGGAGGUAGAGGAAAGUGGAAUUCCCGGUGUAGUGGUGAUAUGCGUAGAUAUCGGGAGCAACACCUGUGGCGAAGGCGGCUUUCUGGGCCUUACCUGACGCUGAGACGCGAAAGCGUGGGGAGCGAACCGGAUUAGAAACCCUGGUAGUCC